AACCCAACAUACUCAAUCCAGAGGAGCCAACUUUCAGAUCAGUUUUCUGUUGACUUAAAGAUGCUACUGCAAAAACCUAGACCAGCACCCAAUACCCACUUUGCUGCCAGACUUUUGAAGUCUGGGAAUUGGCAGCUGAAGGAAACGUAAGCCUCUUCUCCUGGUUUAACACCAGAGGGAAAACGUGAGGGAGAUAAGGAGGCUGUCUAUUAAUUAACCAGCCCUGUUUUACCACGCUGAACUUUGGGUAGCAGCCAUUAAUCAGUCCUACAUAGCGCCGGACAAGGAACUGCAAUCACCCUGGAAAAUACAUCUGAAACGAGAAGGAAAGAUAGAGAGGGCAAACCAUGGCUGUGCAGAGGGGAUUCUGGAAAGGAAACCAGAGCCCUUCUGCCCCACCCUAAACAAGAUGAAGGACGAGAAGGUUCUGACACCGACAGAAGCCUCCUCUUCAGAGACACAAUCUCCUUCCCUGUGUCCCAACAACAAACUGCCAGGAGGAUGAAACGAAUGACACAUUCGUUUUGGAGAUACAAGAACUGGCAAAAAACGAGGACUCUGGAUGCAGCCAAUGGUGCGUGAAAAGGAACAGGUUCAAAGAGUGAAAUCAGAACAAGGCAAAGCACGACCUUUGAUGUCACAAGAAAAGAAGAAAAGGAAAGAAAUCAAAUACAUGUGUCGAUCAACUGAGUCAAACAUAUUUUCUGUUUCAGGAAUAUGGAGUGAGUUAGUGCUGCCUGCACAAUGGAAAGAGGUCCUCCAGCUUAAAUGAAAAGCUAGGUAGUCACACCUUUUAUCUGGAGAGACCUUAAAUAAAUAAAUCUGCUCAAAAAACUA